rnacentral:rRNA from 1 species
GAUUAACGCUGGCGGCGCGCAUAACACAUGCAAGUCGAACGAGACUUCUCUUGGGGUAACCCGAGAGCUGUUCUAGUGGCGGACGGGUGAGUAACACGUGGGUAACCUGCCCUUGAGUGGGGAAUAACCUCGGGAAACCGAGGCUAAUACCGCAUACGGUUUCAACCGGGCAUCCGGAAGUAACCAAAGCAGCAAUGCGCUCGAGGAUGGGCCCGCGGCCUAUCAGCUUGUUGGUGGGGUAACGGCCUACCAAGGCAACGACGGGUAGCUGGUCUGA